rnacentral:rRNA from 1 species
GCAGCACAGGAGAGCUUGCUCUCUGGGUGGCGAGUGGCGGACGGGUGAGGAAUACAUCGGAAUCUACUUUGUCGUGGGGGAUAACGUAGGGAAACUUACGCUAAUACCGCAUACGACCUACGGGUGAAAGCAGGGGACCUUCGGGCCUUGCGCGAUUGAAUGAGCCGAUGUCGGAUUAGCUAGUUGGCGGGGUAAAGGCCCACCAAGGCGACGAUCCGUAGCUGGUCUGAGAGGAUGAUCAGCCACACUGGAACUGAGACACGGUCCAGACUCCUACGGGAGGCAGCAGUGGGGAAUAUUGGACAAUGGGCGCAAGCCUGAUCCAGCCAUACCGCGUGGGUGAAGAAGGCCUUCGGGUUGUAAAGCCCUUUUGUUGGGAAAGAAAUCCAGCUGGCUAAUACCCGGUUGGGAUGACGGUACCCAAAGAAUAAGCACCGGCUAACUUCGUGCCAGCAGCCGCGGUAAUACGAAGGGUGCAAGCGUUACUCGGAAUUACUGGGCGUAAAGCGUGCGUAGGUGGUCGUUUAAGUCCGUUGUGAAAGCCCUGGGCUCAACCUGGGAACUGCAGUGGAUACUGGGCGACUAGAGUGUGGUAGAGGGUAGCGGAAUUCCUGGUGUAGCAGUGAAAAUGCGUAGAGAUCAGGAGGAACAUCCAUGGGCGAAAGGCAGCUACCUGGGACCAACACUGACACUGAGGCAC